rnacentral:misc_RNA from 1 species
UCAAAAGUCAAGUCGGGGACUGCAAGUCCUUGUCUACACCCAUUGUCUUUUGCGCUACCUUAUUGUUUCCUCGGCUGGCGCAAUGCCUGCCGAUUGGACAUUAACAAAACCUUUUUGUAAUUGCAAUCAGCGUCUGAAAAACAAUAAUUAUUA